GACGAACGCUGGCGGCGUGCUUAACACAUGCAAGUCGAACGGAAAGGCCUGCUUUCCCUUGUGGAUUGCGGGUACUCGAGUGGCGAACGGGUGAGUAACACGUGAGUGAUCUGCCCCCAACUUGGGUAUAAGCCUGGGAAACUGGGUCUAAUUCCCGAUAGGACUGCAGGGUGGUGCCUGUGGUGAAAAACGAUUUUCUAGUGGUUGGGGAUGAGCUCGCGGCCUAUCAGCUUGUUGGUGGGGUAAUGGCCUACCAAGGCGGCGACGGGUAGCCGGCCGGGGAGGGUGGACGGCCACAUUGGGACUGGGAUACGACCCAGACGCCUACGGGAGGCAGCAGUGGGGAAUAUUGCACAAUGGGCGGAAGCCUGAUGCGGCGACGCCGCGUGGGGGAUGACGGCCUUCGGGUUGUAAACUCCUUUCGACCGCGAGGAAGCCACCUGGUUGGAAGGGUGGUGACGGUAGUGGUAGAAGAAGCACCGGCUAACUACGUG
rnacentral:rRNA from 1 species